GUUCACCGUGAUCCCACACCUGCCACAGUGCCUGGCAUACAGUAGGUGCUCGAUAAAUGCAUGUUGCCUGAAAGAAAUAAUCAACUGGUUACAGAAUGGGUGUGUGCAAAUCUGUGUAUAUCUGUGUCUCCUUGUGUUCUGUGUGUGUCUCGUUGGUGUGAUUCUGGGGAUGGCCCCACCUGUGUCCCCAGGGACAAGCGCGGCGCUAUGGGCCAGUGAGUGUUUGUGGUGAGGGCUUUCCGGGUCUGUGUGUUAGUGAUUUUGAGUGGUCCCGUGGCAACCGGUGUGCAAGUCAGUGUCUCCAGAGGUGUUCUCAGAGGUGGCCAGCAUCUGCUCUUUU
rnacentral:lncRNA from 1 species